rnacentral:rRNA from 1 species
UACGAAGGUGGCAAGCGUUGUUCGGAUUUACUGGGCGUACAGGGAGCGUAGGCGGUUGGAUAAGCCCUCCGUGAAAUCUCCAGGCUUAACCCUGGAAAGUGCAGAGGGGACUGUUCAGCUAGAGGAUGGGAGAGGAGGCGCGGAAUUCCCGGUGUAGCGGUGAAAUGCGUAGAGAUCGGAGGAAGGCCGGUGGCGAAGGCGGCGCUCUGGAACAUUCUGACGCUGAGCUCGAAGCGUGGGAGCAACAGG